rnacentral:lncRNA from 1 species
AUGGUGAACUUGGCGGCGCAACUCCGGGCCUUGGCGGCUCAAUCAACCGAGCCGACGGCUUUCCUUGAGGAGGCCGAACCAUUAUACCGGCAUGCGGUGGCCUUGCGUCCGCGAGGGCACGUUUUCAAGCAACACAGGUGGCAGCAACACUCGGCGGUGACGCUGCAACCACGCGGGGGCGGCGUGACUCGUGGCGAGGCGCUCAUGUUUCUUCUUCCGGCGCAAGUCCGGGAGUGGCAGCGCAACCUCGACCUCGCCGCUGGGACUGGCGAUGGCGCCGUCGCCAUUGUCACCCUCAACGGUGGCGAAGACGACGGCGACACAACACGACUUGGGUGUCCGGCGCGAUUUCCAGGCGAUGCGACGCGGUUUCCGCAGUUGGUGGCGCAAAUUCUGGCGACAGUUGGAGCAAAGCCAGGCGGCGUGCGUGCGGCUCGAGUCGUGAGCGCGACGGGUGGGCGUGGCACUCGUGCGUCGCUAUGGCGCAGAUCACGCCGGGUCCGCGCGCUGGUUCGCGAAGCUCGCGGCUCGAUCACGGCUGCAUCGCUCCUGGUGGCGUGGCCUCGUGAAGGAAAAGAGGGUAAGUUUUUUGUUCUCUUCCAGUUGGGCUGCCUAGUCUGGUAUGGGUGGUUUCCACGUUGGCCCAUGAAGCAUAGAUGGUUCUUCCUCAUGUUUUGGGCCAUCCGAGUAAAUAGCCUUCUUUGUUGUUGGGCUGGUCAAGUGAGUAGGGCUGUCUAUAACAGUAUUAGUUCUUUUGUUUUCUAUAACAAGCCGAGAUGUAAAAGGCUUGCGAGUCUUCGUUUUGGUUAUGGUAUUUCGUUUGAGUCUAGCAGGGUGUGCUGCAGCUCAAGGACGAGCUGCUUAAAAAAGGGGGAGUAAUGUCAUGGGC